GGGUCGAUUGAGUAACCCGGUAUGUAAUCAUCACAAUUAGGGCGGUGGCCGACUAUAGGGCUGUCAGAUUUGGGGCUAAUCAUCGCAUGGCAAUAUCAAUUGAAGAACACAGAACUUGGAACUUGGUAGACAGACACUUGUAUUUCACUCAAUUUUGCGAUUUAAUUUGGGGCUAAUCAUCGCAUGGCAAUAUCAAUUGAAGAACACAGGGAACUAGGGCAUCCGGAAGCUCAGAGACUCAGGCAUGAUAGUUAAAGCACAUCACAUGAAAUUUGUGUUAUCUCUUGACCUUGUAUGUUUUUCGUUGUCUAUGAUGUUUGGAUGGAAUUUGAAUUCCUUCUGAGUUGUUUUUUAUU
rnacentral:lncRNA from 1 species